ACGUAGGUGGCAAGCGUUAUCCGGAUUUAUUGGGCGUAAAGCGAGCGCAGGCGGUUGCUUAGGUCUGAUGUGAAAGCCUUCGGCUUAACCGAAGAAGGGCAUCGGAAACCGGGCGACUUGAGUGCAGAAGAGGACAGUGGAACUCCAUGUGUAGCGGUGGAAUGCGUAGAUAUAUGGAAGAACACCAGUGGCGAAGGCGGCUGUCUGGUCUGCAACUGACGCUGAGGCUCGAAAGCAUGGGUAGCGAACAG
rnacentral:rRNA from 1 species